UACAGAGGAGCCAAGCGUUGUCCGGAUUGACUGGGCGUAAAGCGCACGCAGGCGGCACCGCGCGUGGGGUGUGAAAUCUGGCCGCUUAACGGCCAGGCGCCAUCCCAUACGGCGGAGCUGGAGUGAUGCAGAGGUCGAUGGAAUUGCCGGUGUAGUGGUGAAAUGCGUAGAGAUCGGCAGGAACACCCAGGGGAAACCAGUGGACUGGGCAGGAGCUGACGCUCAGGUGCGAAAGCGUGGGGAGCGAACCGG
rnacentral:rRNA from 1 species